AACAUUGCCAUCACCAAUAUCUACGCCCCCUCCACCCGGGCUCUCAAACAAUCCUUCCUCGAUAAGCUCCUAUCUAUCGCACAACCGGAUGAUUCCCCGUGGUUAGUUGUUGGAGAUUUCAACCUCUUGCGCUUCCCCUCUGAUAAAAACAACAAUACCUUUAUCCGGCCAGAAGCUAACGCUUUCAACCACGCUCUAGAUAGCCUAGCUCUUAUCGAACUGCCACUCCUCGAUCGUCAAUUUACAUGGUCAAACAAUCGAUCGACACCCACCCUAGAACGGAUUGACCGUGCUUUUUUUAACCUCGCCUCGGCAGAUGCCUUUCCCAACACAACCUUAUCCUCGCUCACACGUUUCACAUCUGGUCACGUCCCUCUCCUCAUACAGGUCACCACAACGAUUCCUCGAUCUAACUUUUUCAAAUUCGAGCCUGGCUGGUCCAAUUUCCGUCCAUGCAACGACAUCGUCACAAAAUGUUGCACUCCCGUCCAGACCACUUCAACCAACUUAGCCGCCCUCCUCGCUGCAUCGCUCAAAAAAUCUUGGGCCGGCCUAAAAAAUUGGAAACGUUCUCGCAUUCCCACUCCUCUCCGUGAAUCUCGUUGCAAAUCAGCCAUAUCGGCCUUUGAUCAUGCUGAAGAACUCAGAGCUCUAUCACAAUCCGAAAUCCUCACUCGCAAGAUCAUCAUCUCGCUUCUCAAAUGCACAAUAUAG
rnacentral:rRNA from 1 species